ACGUCAUGUCCCUCGUGAGCAGGGGGCCCUGGAAGGACGCCUUGGAGCAGCUGAUGGGGCCAGGGAAGUUGAGAAGGUGAGCAACAGGGUCCCUCCUCCAAUCAAAACACUACAAGUCUGUCUGCUGAGAUGUGGAGAAGGCUUCAAGACUUCCCUGCAGAGCUAGGUACCUGCUAAGGAGGGGCCAGACCCCAAGCCUCGCCCGGGCCGGCCGGUGCUGCGCCACCCAGCGAUGGAGCCAACGGGUGGUGGAUUUGGAAGUUGUAGGAAAAGUUGGACUGAACACAGCUGCCCCGGCCCUCCCCAACCCCUCCGCCUCCAGCUUGAGGCAGUGUGGAGAUCUUCUCUGCGGAAGAAAAGGGAGGCCACGCCCAUUCCUGGACACCUCCCCUUCCAGUCCUGCCCCUCGCGCCCCCCAGCCUCCCAGGCCUGCGCGCACCAGCCAUCAGCAUCGAAAGCACAUCUCUGGGUGGCCCUUCGUUGUGGGAAGACAAAACCAGGUUUUCAGGCACAUCUCUUCUCCCUUUCAUUUUGGGGAUGCAGUCUCUGAAGAAACCGGAAAGAUUAGAUUGGCAUUAAGCAUUUUCUCUGCAAGCUCUGGAGGGUGGCAUAGUCAGGUUCACGCUUAGGUCCUUCUGAGCAUCUCACUCCCGGCGUCAAGACUUCAAGAGCACUGCAGCAGGCACUUGCCUACCUUGGCACUGAAGUUCAUGGUAUAUGAUUGCUGCCAGGAGCAAAGGCAUGUGGGUAAACUUGCCUUGCCAUCUGCCAAAGCUCUCCAGGGAACCCUCACUUCAGCAGAAGCCAUGUGACUCUGGAAAAUCCAUUCACCCUUUCAAAGAGAUAUUUUUGAGAACGCCUUUCAAUGACCUCAUCAGCAAAAAGGAGGGUUGGCAAGAAUUGCUGCAAUAGUUAUUUCUCAAGCCUUCUAGCAUUUACCAUGUUCAGUCUCCAACUGUUCUCUGCAGGAAUACAGCUUAGUUUAAUGAAAAAAGAAUGUUAGAAUGACAUAAUGGUGUUUAAAUAUUGAUACUUACCACAAGACUUUGAAUAAAUUCCUUAACCUUUCUAUACUUCUUCAUCUGUAAAAUGGGCAUAAUAAUACCCACUUUGCA
rnacentral:lncRNA from 1 species